CCUACGGGAGGCAGCAGUGAGGAAUAUUGGUCAAUGGACGAGAGUCUGAACCAGCCAAGUAGCGUGAAGGAUGACUGCCCUAUGGGUUGUAAACUUCUUUUAUAUGGGAAUAAAAUGUUCCACGUGUGGGAUUUUGUAUGUACCAUAUGAAUAAGGAUCGGCUAACUCCGUGCCAGCAGCCGAGGUAAUACGGAGGAUGCGAGCGUUAUCCGGAUUUAUUGGGGUUAAAGGGAGCGUAGGUGGUUUGUUAAGUCAGUGGGGAAAUGUUGCGGCUCAACCGUAACAUUGCAGUUGAAACUGGCAGUCGUGAGUACAGUAGAGGUAGGCGGAAUUCGUGGUGUAGCGGUGAAAUGCUUAGAUAUCACGAAGAACUCCGGUUGCGAAGGCAGCUCACUGGACUGGAACUGACACUGAGGCACGAAAGUGUGGGUAUCAAACAGGAUUAGAUACCCUGGUAGUC
rnacentral:rRNA from 1 species